rnacentral:SRP_RNA from 1 species
UCGGGGCCUGACUCUGAGAAGGAUCUGGCGUCAGGGGAUGUCGUGGGUUCCAUUCUUGCAUUAUGACUGCGCCAGAGCUAACUUGCGGCCGGAGGAGCGACCUGGGCGGAGGCCUAGGUCGACACUCUCGCUAAGGAGCCUGCACCGCCCCAGUGCGGCCACGCGGCAGGGAACAGGGCUCACCCCGAGUUGAGCUUGUGAUUACGCGUCA